UUAACUUAAAAUAGAUAAAUUUUUAACUUCCCGAAAUAAGAUGAUCUUACUUAGUUUGUAUAUUUGAACUAAUAAUAAAAAAAUUAUGUAGCAAAAAUAGUUAUAAAAAGCUAAAGUUAGGAGUGAAAGGCUAUACAAAUCUUAUUUAUAACUGGAUAUAAGCCCAAAUAUAUUUAGUAUAGUAAUUACAAAUGUAGAAUACUAAGAUUUUACAUAAAGAAUAGAUAGGGUCAGUUAAUUAUUUUGUUUUAUUAAUGUAACAUAGAAAAAUUAUAAUUAAAUUAUAAAUCUUCGAUCUUCUUUUGGUUUCUAGGCCUAUAAUUAAUUAUAAUAUAUUUAGAUAUUAAUUAAUGUUAAAAUGAGUAAUAAUAAUAAAAUAAGUUAAAGGAACUCGGCAAAUCCUCUUUUCAACUGUUUAUCAAAAACAUAGCUAAUUGCAAAUUAAUAAUUAGUUUAUUCUGCCCGGUGAAAUCUUUUAACGGCCGCAGUACACUGACUGUGCAAAGGUAGCAUAAUAAAUUGGCUUUUAAUUGGAGUCGUGUAUGAAAGAACAAAUGGGAAAAAACUGUCUUUAAUUUACUUAUAAUAAUUUACUAAGAAAGUGCAAAUUCUUUCAUUAAAAUUAAAAAGACGAGAAGACCCUAUAAAUUUUAAAUAAAAUGUUUUACUUUAAUUCUGUGUUUUUUGUUGGGGCAACAGAUUGACAAGUAUCAUAUAUUAAAUUAGUUAAAAUAAAUAGAUGCUUAUAACGAGUUUUACUAAAAAUAGAUAAAUUACUAUAGGGAUAACAGCAUAAUUUUAUUAAAUAAGAUUGUGACCUCGAUGUUGGAUUAGGAUUCAGUUAGAUUAGACAUUUAAUUGUUAGGUUCUGUUCGAACUUUUUAUUCCU
rnacentral:rRNA from 1 species